rnacentral:tRNA from 1 species
GCGCCCGUAGCUCAACUGGAUAGAGCAACGGCCUUCUAAGCCGUCGGUUGCAGGUUCGAAUCCUGCCGGGCGCGCCA